rnacentral:rRNA from 1 species
GACGAACGCUGGCGGCGUGCCUAAUACAUGCAAGUAGAACGCAGUUGCGAACGGGUGAGUAACGCGUAGGUAACUGCCUGGUAGCGGGGGAUAACUAUUGGAAACGAUAGCUAAUACCGCAUACUACCAGAUGGACCUGCGUUGUAUUAGCUAGUUGGUGGGGUAACGGCUCACCAAGGCAACGUUACAUAGCCGACCUGAUAGGUGUAGCGGCCACACUGGGACUGAGACACGGCCCAGAAUCCGACGGGAGGGAGCAGGAGGGAAGCUUCGGAAAUGGGGGGAACCCUGACCGAGGAACGCCGCGUGAGGGAAGAAGGUUUUCGGAUCGUAAAGCUCUGUUGGUAAGGAAGCGGUACUUAACCAGAAAGGGACGGCUAACUACGUGCCAGCAGCCGCGGUAAUUC